rnacentral:rRNA from 1 species
AACGAACGCUGGCGGCAGGCUUAACACAUGCAAGUCGAGGGACGGUAGCAAUACUGGACCGGCAAACGGGUGCGGAACACGUACGCAACAUACCCUGAACUGGGGCAUAGCCUUCUGAAAAGGAGAUUAAUACCCCAUAAGAUAAUAGAGUGGCAUCACUUAGUUAUUAAAGAUUUAUUGGUUCAGGAUUGGCGUGCGUCCUAUUAGCUAGUUGGUAAGGGUAACGGCCUACCAAGGCGACGAUAGGUAGCUGGUGUGAGAGCACGACCAGCCACACGGGGCACUGAGACACGGGCCCGACUCCUACGGGAGGCAGCAGUGAGGAAUAUUGGUCAAUGGAGGCAACUCUGAAACCAGCCAUGCCCGCGUGAAGGAUGAA